rnacentral:rRNA from 1 species
CCUACGGGUGGCAGCAGUGAGGAAUAUUGGUCAAUGGACGGAAGGCUGAACCAGCCAAGCCGCGUGAGGGAGGAAGGCGCAGUGAGUUGCAGACCUCUUUUGCAGGGGGAUAAAAGGCCGGACUGGUGCGGUUCUGCGGGUACCUGGUGAAAAAGCAUCGGCUAACUCCGUGCCAGCAGCCGCGGUAAUACGGAGGAUGCGAGCGUUAUCCGGAUUCAUUGGGUUUAAGGGGUGGGGAGGCGGGUCUUUAAGUCAGUUGGGAAAUUCCGGGGGCCAACCGCAGACGGGCCUUGGAUACUGGCAGCCGUGAGUACAGUUGAGGUAGGCGGAAUUCGCUGUGUAGCGGUGAAAUGCAUAGAUAUCACGAAGAACCCCGAUUGCGAAGGCAGCGUACUGAGCCGUGACUGACACUGAUGCACGAAAGCGUGGGUAUCAAACAGGAUUAGAUACCCUAGUAGUC